UACGUAGGGUGCGAGCGUUAAUCGGAAUUACUGGGCGUAAAGCGUGCGCAGGCGGUUUCACAAGCUCGAUGUGAAAGCCCCGGGCUUAACCUGGGAAUGGCAUUGAGGACUGUGGAGCUCGAGUGCGGCAGAGGGAGGUGGAAUCCACGUGUAGCAGUGAAAUGCGUAGAGAUGUGGAGGAACACCGAUGGCGAAGGCAGCCUCCUGGGCCGACACUGACGCUCAUGCACGAAGCGUGG
rnacentral:rRNA from 1 species